rnacentral:lncRNA from 1 species
GCUUUAAUGUUAUAGAACAAAUUUUUCCUUAGGAUUAUUUUAUUAUGCAAAUUCACGAACCAUGGGGUUAAAUACUUGUUUGUUUGAUUAUAUUGAAUUCUUUCAGUAUGAAUAAAGAUCUAAGCUUCAUUCCUUUUGUGUGUGCCCUAUUAUGUUCUAUAAAUUUUGACUAAGUAUGACUUAACCCCUUAUGUAAACCAG